GACCACGUAGCUCAGUUGGCAGAGCAUUGGGCUAUUAUUCCAAAGGUCGUAGGUUCAAUUCCCACCGUGGCCA
rnacentral:tRNA from 1 species